ACACCCACUCCCUGUCAAUCACACUACGAUCACCAGAACAAAGAAAAAACCUUGUAAUGCCUUCCCUGGGAUGCAGUGUGCGGGUGCGCGGGUGACGUAAGGACGUUACCUGCAAUGUGAGGAGCCUGGGCCUUAGUUGGAUCCAGCCGGCGGUGGCGAUGACAAGAGAAGCAGCCAGCAAGAGGCCAUGCUGCAUGAAAGCGGGAGCCGUGAUUGCAGGGAGAGGGAGGACUGAAACUAGGCAGCAGUACAAUUUGUCAGACAAACAUACAAACCUUAACAUCAAUUAAAAUAAAAGAAAAAAUCCAAAGAAUGCGCCAUGUGGAUACAAAUCUGGUCGACACAUGUUGUAUACGCCAACCUAACAGCAUAUAUAGAGUUGCAAACAGCCAUAUAUUAUAUAAAUCAAGCAUCACAUUUCUUUACCUUAGUACAUAUAGUGUCAUUGCCAGGGGUGACCAAUUAAGAAAAACAUACAUAAACAAGAGCAGCAAAAUUAGGCAGAUUCAUGGGUGUAGCGGUACAUCGGGGACGAUAACCAUCUAUCCCAAAUUUUGUAAAAUUUAUCCGGGGCUUUGCUAGAAAUAUAAACAAACUUUUCAUGGGACACAAUUUGGAUGUGUUUUAUUUAACCAGAAUAUACAGAUACCUUUUAAAGAUUCAUUUUUUCUAUGCUCUGGUAAUUUCCCAUCUACCACCUUUUGCUUGCAGCAACUGUUUUACCAGUAUUUUGUAUUG